UGUGAUGCCUGGUACAUGCUGCCCCGCGCUCUCGACAUGCCAUACCGCGAGGCCCACACUCGCUGGCACGGCUGCUUCCAGAGUCGCCAGCGUGACCUGCCGCCCGGUGAGUGUCCUGCCCCCAGCCGCGCACAACCGUGGCUCUCACGCUGACACACACACUGCCCCUUCCACACCUCCCCGCAGCCUAUACACAGCACUUGCGGGAGACGGCCUUCUGGGACCCCGCGAUACCUCCGCAGUACCUCAACCCUGGCACCCGCUGGGGGUGUCUGCAGUGGAGGGACAGGCAAAUCCGUGGCAAGGAGUUCGGUGAGCUGAGGGGGAUGGGGGUCAGGGUCAGUGCUGCACGUGGGUCACUCCACUCUCAGCGACAGAGGCAGGGGGAUUUCAGUCCUGGAGGUAGCCUGAGCUAGCUAGUGUCAAAAAAAAAAAAAAAAA
rnacentral:lncRNA from 1 species